rnacentral:ribozyme from 1 species
GCCACGCUCCUCUUGUAUGCCUUGACGGUGGGGCUCUUUU